rnacentral:rRNA from 3 species
GACCUCGGAUCAGGUAGGGAUACCCGCUGAACUUAAGCAUAUCU